CUAGAAAGGUUGCACAGCCUACUUCAUCCGGAGAGACUGGCAGGGACCUCACAAACUCAGACAUGACAUGAGGAAAAACAACUCUGCUGAAACGGACACACGUGACGGACCGAGUUGCCUUUCCCAAAACGUACAGUAUGUUUUUAUUGUUCAAGUAAACGGGAUUACCGACUGUGUACAAUGAAUACUUCCCAUUCAAAGACUGUGUUUUUUAGAUCCUGUGGUCAACGAAUCAGAAGGACAAGAGAGAGUUGUUUUAUCUUUCAGUGACGUCUCCAAGUUGACUAUCUUACUAUCAAAAAACAUUUUCUUAUUUGCAACAUCAAACUAUUCACUCGUUACAGUUUGGGUUUAGGCUUGAGGUGUCAUUUAUAAGUAAAGGGAGCAACCAUAUAUUUUGAUGUUUCUCUCUCAAUAUUAUAAAAAUAUUACUUUUCAUAUCCUACCACAGGGCGGCGCUCUUGCUCCAUUCUGAAGAAGAAAAAAUACUGACGUACAUCUAGCUACACAAAACUGUUCACUGCAGUCCAGAUAUCCACUUUCUGAUGCCUUACCCUAAUACCAAUAAAUCAUUUCAAGCCUUUCA